UGGGGAAUAUUGCACAAUGGGCGCAAGCCUGAUGCAGCCAUGCCGCGUGUAUGAAGAAGGCCUUCGGGUUGUAAAGUACUUUCAGUCGGGAGGAAGGUGGUAAGGUUAAUAACCUUGGCAAUUGACGUUACCGACAGAAGAAGCACCGGCUAACUCCGUGCCAGCAGCCGCGGUAAUACGGAGGGUGCAAGCGUUAAUCGGAAUUACUGGGCGUAAAGCGCACGCAGGCGGUUGAUUGAGUCAGAUGUGAAAUCCCCGGGCUUAACCCGGGAAUUGCAUCUGAUACUGGUCAGCUAGAGUCUUGUAGAGAGGGGUAGAAUUCCAUGUGUAGCGGUGAAAUGCGUAGAGAUGUGGAGGAAUACCGGUGGCGAAGGCGGCCCCCUGGACAAAGACUGACGCUCAGGUGCGAAAGCGUGGGGAGCAAACAGG
rnacentral:rRNA from 1 species